rnacentral:rRNA from 1 species
GAUGAACGCUAGCUACAGGCUUAACACAUGCAAGUCGAGGGGAAACGAUGAGAGAGCUUGCUCUCUUAGGCGUCGACCGGCGCACGGGUGAGUAACGCGUAUCCAACCUACCCAUUACAGGGGGAUAACCUUGCGAAAGUAAGACUAAUACCCCAUGGCAUUUUAUGGUGGCAUCAUUAUAGGAUUAAAGAUUUAUUGGUAAUGGAGGGGGAUGCGUCUGAUUAGCUUGUUGGCGGGGUAACGGCCCACCAAGGCAACGAUCAGUAGGGGUUCUGAGAGGAAGGUCCCCCACAUUGGAACUGAGACACGGUCCAAACUCCUACGGGAGGCAGCAGUGAGGAAUAUUGGUCAAUGGGCGAGAGCUUGAACCAGCCAAGUAGCGUGCAGGAUGACGGCCCUAUGGGUUGUAAACUGCUUUUAUAGGGGAAUAAAGUGAGCUACGUGUAGUUUAUUGCAUGUACCCUAUGAAUAAGGACCGGCUAAUUCCGUG